rnacentral:rRNA from 1 species
GACGAACGCUGGCGGCGUGCUUAACACAUGCAAGUCGAACGGAAAGGCCCUGCUUUUGUGGGGUGCUCGAGUGGCGAACGGGUGAGUAACACGUGAGUAACCUGCCCUUGACUUUGGGAUAACUUCAGGAAACUGGGGCUAAUACCGGAUAGGAGCUCCUGCUGCAUGGUGGGGGUUGGAAAGUUUCGGCGGUUGGGGAUGGACUCGCGGCUUAUCAGCUUGUUGGUGGGGUAGUGGCUUACCAAGGCUUUGACGGGUAGCCGGCCUGAGAGGGUGACCGGCCAAAUGGGGACUGAGAACCGGCCCAGACCCCCACGGGGGGCAGCGGGGGGGAAUUUUGCAAAAGGGGGGGAAGCCUGAUGCAGCAACGCCGCGGGGGGGAUGGGGGCCUUGGGGUUGUAAACCGUUUUCCCCUGGGACGAAGGGGGGGUGACGGUAAUGGGGAAAGAAGCACCGGCUAACUACGU